UUUUGUUUCCCCCCCUUCGUCGGGUCAAGCCGGACAGCCCAUAAAGUGGCAGCCGGGAUAAAAACCUAGGUGUCCCUUAUUAGGAAGGAAGCCAAAAAAUUCAAUAUACGAAAAAUAUUCUAAUUCAAAAUUUUCGAGCUCAAAUUUAGAAUGUUUACAAUCAAAAUCAGAAAUACCAUUCCGAACUUGCACCCCUAGUCCCAACUUUAUUGGUGAAAUGAUUUAGAUGUGAUCUCCCAAGCAUUUUCCCUCCACUAAUUACUAUUUUACAUUUAAUAGUACGGUCUAAUUGUAUUUCUCUUCACUUGUAAUGAGAUGUCUAAUGUUCGAUUCUCACCAAAAACGAUUUGAACCACAUUAUGCCUAGCCCAUUGUGAAGUUUAGCGCAUCACCUCAUCUUCGUGUAGAUAAUAUCAUUUGUUCAAAGAAAAUUACAAUUUUACACAAGCACAAUACAAAUCUGUAAAGGGAUGACGUUUCUAUACAGCAUUUUCACCUUCAGCACACCCUUCUUAUUUUGACCCUUUGAUUUGUUUAAACCAACUGUUGAUAAACAAAGGGCAUGCAAAGGUGAAAAAGUGUGCAGAUAUCAUCUCCCAACUAUAAAAUCCUUUUCAUGCUGUUCAAAUUCCUGUAGCAAAACCCUUACAACAUCAAGGGAAGUAAAAUGAGAGAAUGUGUGAAAGAAAAAUGCAAGGUGUUUGGGAUAAAAUCUGAACUUUGGGCCAGAGAGAAAGUCGGCCCAAACCCAAGGCCCAGAGGAAAAUUUAGGAGGCAGGAAAGAGGCUUUCGGCUAGGCACAAGUUACAAAGGCCACCUGCUUACCUGCUCAAAGACCACAGGGGGUAGGCUAUUCAGUCAAUACAUAGCCCAAAAAAGUACUUUAUUGGUGGCAUUCAUGUAAAAAAGCUAGUGAGUCAUCACCAAACCGCAUUCGGGCACCGCUAUUGCUACAGGAACCCAAGCUGAAGUCGUCUAUAAAGGAGGAAGAGAAGACAGAAUUAAGGACACUCAAUCAAACAAACAAAAGCCAAAACUCUGCUCAAGCCAGAUUUGCCUUCAACGAAGCUGUAGUCAGCACAAGCCUUCAUCCCAUUCGGGAUAAACCUUCCCAAACCCCUGUAAUAGCUCUGCUACCUUGUUCAUGGUGGUAUCGAUUCAUUUUGUAUCCUCUUCUCCCCCGUCAACCCCUCUAAAAGCUUUCAGACCUUUGACAGAGCCACAAAGAUAGAUUUUGUAAGAAGUUCAGCCUUGGCCGAUAAGGUUCAAACUUACCCGACUAUCUUUGCUCUGUCUUUGUCUUUUCUUUCUUUUAAAAGCACAAUAACAUGUUAUAUAUAUAUUCCCAGUUAUAUACAAGUUAUUUCUAGUAAAGUUAGAAUGAAAAUGAGUCUUCGGCACUUGAAUCCGAUCUGAAUUGCGUCAGAGUUCAAAUCAGAUCUAAGUCUUAAGCCCGCGGGCAUGUAAUUUAAAGAUCAGUAAAGUCCUUGGCCUCAAGGCAUAAAAAAAGAACUCUAUGUGGACUCAACCCAUCCACGACAAUCCCUGAUAAGCGAGAAGUCCGAAGUUACUUGGGGCGCAAGUAAUCAAUCUAUUUCUCCGUUUUGUUGCUAUUAUAUCUUGAUUCGUAGAAAAGGCUUAAGCAUGGAGUGAAUUCUGAUAGAAAGCCUCAAGGCCUACACCUAAGGCCCCAUGAAGGCAUCUAUUUAGCUUCAUUUCAUGUUGCGGUCUAGUUGGUCCGAGUAUAAGGAUUAACUCUGAUGGGAAGCCUCAAGGCCUAUACCUAAGGCCCUACAAAGGCACUCAUUUGGGUUCGUCCUACCUCUUGGAUUCAGAUAAUCAAAGGUAUAAUAGUAAUAAGACUCAGGCAACCAUAAAAGACCAAAUAUGAUACAUCCAAGCGCUAGUUUAGUUUGACAGGAAGCCUCAAGGCCUAUACCUAAGGCCCCACAAAGGCACCUGUUAUAUCUAACUUGGUUUCUCGGGCGUAUACAUAUUCAAUCAAAGCUUAACACCCAUUCAACAUCUGCCAUACUGAAGAUGGCAGUGGCACGCCUGAGCACGACAAAGUUAAUCUUGAUUGUGAGCCUUAAGGCCUACACCUAAGGCCCCACAAAGGCACCCUUUCAAAUUAACUAUGUCCUUCUCUUUCAGAACUGCCCGACGAGCCUUGCCCGAAGUGUGUCUUGCCCGACCAAGAUCUGCCCGACAAAGGCUUGCCCGAGUGAGCCCGAGAAGAAAGCAGAAGUACGACAGAUACCCUCAACCGACGCCAUUCUCCCAGGGGAGCUGUGUGCUCGUCCGCCAGGAGAUUCCUGCGACGAACAUAGUUUUGGCACGCCCGGUGGGAUCCUCUGAUCUGAAGAUAAAGAUAAACAUGCCAGAAGAUUUACAGAAUACAUUGUUUCAAAUGCUACAGAGACUGAAUGAAGCCUCCCUAGGCUCUAGAAAUGAGACAGGUUUGGAUCCUCCCAAAGGAGAAAGACACAGGACUACCCAACCAGAUGAGGUAGUCAUAGUCAACCCUGUGUUGCCCUUUUCUGAAGCCCCGGUAAACAUGCUCAACAUGACCUGGGCAGAGAAGGGAAAAGGGAAAAUUAUAAGGGAAGAAGAAGAAGGGAAACUAGCCAAACGACCUACGGAAGGGAUAGGCAAACCAUCCAAGUACCCAAAGGCUGCCAUAAUCAAAGGGCUGGUUAUGUGUAGUAAAUGCCAGUGUGAAUGUGAACUCGAGAUUCCCCCAGCUGGAGUCCUUAUUGAUCACGAGUUAAUUAAAAGAGAAGCCCGCGAAAGGCUUAAGCAGGCAACAAGAAAAAAUACUUCCCGAAGCGUUUUUCAACGUUUAGAAGGUGAUUCCCAACCCAAGGCGUUGUCAGAAGUAUUUCGAAAUUAUGAAGUUUCUGACGAGGCAGAGGACAUGGAAGCCAAACUCCAAAGAAGUACAGAGCAGCUUCAAAAUGGCCAAAAGGGGAAGGAAGUCAGAAGAACUGAUGGGAUAGCUAAGAAAGCAACUCCUGCAUAUCGUGGGCGGAAAUGGUAUGUAGUUGGAAAAGAUGGGCAGCCCACCAGACCAAUGGGAGCAUCCAUGGUCAGAAGGGUUCAAAGGCAGCACAAAGCCUACAUGAAUUCCCUGAUGACCCCCAUCACCUCUGAAGCCUCAAAAAAUCAAAAGCCAGAGAGGGCAACAUCUGGAAGUAGUAGUCAGCUUCGUUGGCGAAGUAAGAGGGAAGUAGAAAGGGCCAACGGCAAGACGGAGGGUAUGGGGAAUCAUGUGCCACAAAGCCAACAUCCUGGCAAGUAUAGGAUCUUAAGAAGGGCUCAGGAAGAUCUGACUAUGAUGCCAACACCUGGUUGGAGGCCAGGGCCCACCCAUGAGGAAACUGUUGCAUCUGAGAGGAGACCAACCUUUCUGCCUUUGGAUCCGUUUGGUGAAGUUCCAAAGCAAGCGCUGUACAGAGACAUAAAUCAACCACAACAGGAAGGGAUACCAGAGCCCUUACUACCAGCCGAUGCAAUGGCCUGGUUAGACGAGUUCAUGGAUCACGUUGGGAGCAAGAAGGAGGACUUGCUCGAACCCAGCAACUUCCACAUCAACAUGACGUAUGUAUUAUCCGCCAUGUUUGGCGCCAGGCCUGACCAGCCCGCUACCAUGGAAGGUGAUUAUUUAACAACUGAGCCGAUGAUGGCUCACGUCAAUGUGGAGGUAGUUACAGAGGAAGACUCAGGCAAGGUUGAAUCCUCAAAAGUACCUAAAGGUGGUCCCCUACGGAUUUACACAGAUAAAAUGGUGUUCAGCCGCCCAAGUAUUUCGUUGGCCAACCACCUGAAGCCUAUAUACGUUUCAGCUCAUCUGGAAGGUGUACCUUUCAAAAGAAUUUUGAUUGAUGGAGGAGCGGCUGUUAACAUAUUGCCAGCCAAGCAGAUGAAGAGGAUGGGGAGAAGCACUGAAGAUCUUAUUCCCACAAACCUUACAGUCUCGAGCUUUUCAGGUGCCAUCACCAGGACUCAUGGGAUAUUACCUUUGGAGGUAGAUCUGGGGUCCAAGAAAAUAAUGUUGGCGUUCUUUGUAGUAGACUGCAUUUCCACUUACGGGGCCCUACUUGGAAGAGAUUGGAUUCAUCAAAGUUUAGCCAUACCUUCUACUCUUCAUCAACAAGUGGCUGUAUACCACGAGGCAAGUACUGAAGGAUCAAGCUUUUGGGAGUUGGUAGAGGCCGAAUCACGGCCGUUCCUCCCCCCAGCUAAUGUUGCAGAAGCAAAUUUCUACAAUCCCAACGUGGGAAUUUUGAAAUGUUUAGGAGCUGAUGAGAACGGCCGCCCUACCAAGGUGACGGCCCGAAAGCUUCUAGAACAAGGGAUGCUCCUUACCAAGGAGGAGUGGGAGAGACCCUGUCUUAUACCAAACUCUCUAUACCAUCAAUGAUCGAACAAAAGAAGAAAGAUCAGGUCAUGGCAGUCAGAUCCCUGAUUAAAAGACUGUUGGUGUAUGGAAAGGGAAGAAGACAGGAAGAGAAGCUCUUGGAUAAAGAAGAGCAGGAGUGGCAGGGGAAAGUUUCUACCAGCCAGCAGGAAAAUGAGGAAGAAUCUUGCACAGAGGAGUUAGAAAAGGCCAUUCAAAUGGCCGAAUGCGUCUACGAUAUAGACGAGCCAGACGGUCUGCCCGAGAACCCGGAGUUAGUUGAAUUUUUGUGUGCAGAGCCUGAUAAGCCACCUCCAGAAGUCCAGGAUCCAUUGGAAGUUAUUGAUCUAGGCACAGAAGAGGAUCCGAGACCAAUUCAAAUCAGCAGUUUAUUAAGGAUUGAGGAUCGGGCCAAGAUUAUCUCUCUUUUGCAAGAAUUCAAAGAUUGUUUUGCUUGGCAUUACACCGAGAUGCCAGGAUUAGACCCAGCCUUGGUGGAACAUAGAAUGCCCAUCAAGGAAGGAUAUAAACCUGUCAAGCAGGCACCACGAAGGAUGUCAAAGGAGAUAGAAGAAAAAGUCAAAGAAGAAAUUGAAAGGCUGGUGAAAGCUGGCUUUAUUAGACCAGCCAAAUAUGUAGAGUGGCUAGCCAACAUUGUACCCGUUUUAAAAGCUAUAACAAAAGCAGUACGGUGUUGUGUUGAUUAUAGGAAUAUUAAUAGCGCCACACCAAAGGAUGAAUAUCCCAUGCCCAUGGCUGACUUAUCCAUAGAUGCUGUAGCAAAGCAUAAAGUUUUAUCGUUUAUGGAUGGAAAUGCCGGUUAUAAUCAAAUAAAGAUGGCGCCAGAGGAUAUUCAUAAGACAGCUUUUAGAUGUCCUGGUCAUGUGGGGGCAUAUGAAUAUCUGGUCAUGCCAUUUGGGCUCAAAAAUGCAGGCGCCACGUAUCAAAGGGCAAUGAAUGCCAUUUUUCAUGAUUUAAUUGGCCAAAGCAUGGAGGUGUAUAUCAAUGACAUUGUGGUAAAAUCUAAGACAGAAGAGCAGCAUCUCGUGGACCUCAAGCAAGCAUUGAUGAGGAUGCGGAUCCACAAGUUGAAGAUGAAUCCAAAGAAAUGCGCUUUUGGAGUAAGAGCGGGCAAUUUUUUGGGAUUCUUGGUGCAUCAGAGAGGUGUGGAGGUGGACAAAAAUAAGUCUCGGGCAAUAUUAGAGUCACUUCCACCUACCAACAAAGUACAGCUUCAGAGAUUGCUAGGUAAAAUCAACUUCUUAAGGAGAUUCAUUGCCAAUUUGGCGGGCAAAAUCCAGCCACUAACUCCGCUACUGAGAUUGAAGGAUAGGGAGAAUUUUGAGUGGGGGCCAACCCACCAGCAGGCAUUUGAUAGCAUCAAGGCUUACUUAACUUCCCCACCAGUGCUGGUGCCACCUCAAAGGGGAAAGCCAUUGAAACUAUAUAUUUCUGCAUCGGAAAGAUCAAUUGGGAGUCUACUAGCCCAGAAUAAUGAAGGAGGAAAAGAGCAGGCUGUGUAUUACCUCAGCAGAAUUCUGACCGAGGUAGAAACAAGAUAUUCUCCGGUGGGAAAAAAACUGUGUUUGGCUCUAUAUUUUACUGCCAGCAAGCUAAGGCAUUACAUGCUACCUUGUCAUGUGCACAUUAUCGCCAAAACAGAUGUGAUAAAGUACAUGUUGUCAAGACCUAUGCUAGCAGGGAGGAUUGGGAAGUGGAUUCUAGCAUUAUCAGAAUUCAGUUUUCAGUACAUACCCCAGAGGGCAGUCAAAGGCCAGGCAAUUGCUGACUUCCUGACCGAACACCAGGAGUCUCAAAGCGAGGAAAUCAAUAUCCCGGGAAGUUUAGAAGUUGCUAAUGUAUGGAUCCCACCAAGAAGUGAUGUUUCGGGCAAAGAAGAUUGGAUCCAGCAAGAGAUAAGGAGAGUAGCAGGUCUUUGGAUUACACUUUGGAAGCUAUAUUUCGAUGGAUCCUACACUCAGAAGGCAGCAGGAGCUGGAAUUGUGAUUAUAAACCCUCAAGGGGUUUAUCAUUACUAUUCCUUCCUACUUGAUUAUCAAGAAAAUACCAAUAAUCGGGUGGAGUAUGAGGCAUUGAUUAUCGGCCUGGAAAUCCUGAUGAACUUGGGGGCAACUGAAGUAGAGAUCUUUGGUGAUUCAGAGUUAGUGAUAAAUCAACUAAAUGGCGAGUUCAAAUGCAGACAUAUCACUAUGGCAGGGUACUAUAUGGCAGCAACACAACUGCUGAGUUUGUGGGAGUCUGAGAUAUCAGUCAAUCACAUUCCUAGGGGAUCUAACUUGGCAGCUAAUGAAAUGGCGCAACUAGCUUCAGGAGUGCCAAUGCAAGAAAGGAAGUAUGGUGUUGAUGUUGAGAUCCAAACAAGAAACCUUCCCUCUAUCUUAGAUCAGAGGUUCAGUCUGGAUGUAAUGGUUCUAGAGACCGAGGUGGAAGAUUGGAGGACACCUAUUACUCAGUAUCUGAAAGAUCCUUCUUCACCCACAAGUAAGAAGAACAGGCAGCAAGCAACCAAGUAUGUCUUGUGGACAAAAAAUCUGUUGAGAAAGACCCCAGAUGGGUUGCUAUUAAAAUGCUUAGGCCUAGAGGAAUCCAUGAGAGUAAUGGCCGAAGUACAUGAGGGAAUAUGUGGAGCACAUCAAGCGGGAACAAAGAUGAGAUGGCUACUCAGAAGGUAUGGUUAUUUCUGGCCCGACAUGGAAAAAGAUUGUAAGUCCUAUGCCCGCGGAUGUGAAGAAUGUCAGAGACAUGGACCUCUCCAGCACGUACCAUCAGUACCUCUCAAUCCAGUGGUCAAGCCUUGGCCGUUCCGAGGAUGGGCAAUGGACUUCAUCGGGCAGAUUUAUCCGGCCUCUAGUAAGGGACAUACUUUCAUAAUUGUGGCAACGGAUUACUUCACCAAAUGGGUAGAAGCAUCGGCAGUAAAAUCCAUAACUUCAGCCGUGGUCAAGAAUUUUAUUGAGACCAAGAUCCUGCACAGGUAUGGGGUGCCUGAAACUAUAGUAACGGAUCGUGGGCCAUCGUUUAUUUCAAAGGAGGUUGAAGAGUUUGCAAACAAGUACAAAAUAAAGAUGAUCCAAUCCAGUCCAUACUACCCUCAGUCAAAUGGGCAAGCAGAGGCUAGCAACAAGAUCUUGGUCAACAUUAUUAAAAGAAUGGUGAUUGAUAGUCCAGAAAGGUGGCAUGAGAUGCUAGGGAACAUGUUGUGGGCAUACCGGACUUCUAAAAGAGCGGGGACAGGCACGACGCCUUAUGCCUUGACUUUCGGGCAAGAUGCAGUGCUCCCUAUGGAAAUCAACGUCAGUUCCGUAAGAAUUCAAAAUCAAUUUGGGUUGCAUAGUGCAGAAUAUAUUGAAGCCAUGUGUCAAGGUAUUGAGGAUCUGGAUGCAGCCCGAAUUGAAGCCUUGAACCAGAUUCAAGAAGGAAAGAUUGCUGUUGCCCGAGCUUAUAACAAAAGGGUGAAGUUAAAGUCUUUCAAGGAGGGAGAUUUAGCGUGGAAAGCGGUCCUCCCGCUAGGCGCUCAGCUGCGUGGCUUCGGGAAAUGGAGCCCGACAUGGGAAGGUCCUUUUAUUAUUAGUCGGGUUUUGAACAAAGGAGGAUAUUAUCUAGCAGACCUCGAAGGCAAUGAGCAGAAACACCCUAUUAAUGCAAAAUUCUUGAAGAAAUAUUGUCCUACAUUAUGGGAUGUUAGGGAUUGCUAUAUCGAAGAGGGAGCAGAGUGAGACGGACCUUAGAAAUUCACAUACGGUAUUUUGUUCAUCCAAACAUUUAAAGAAGGCAGAGAUGCAGAAAUAGAUAAAAAUACUUAUUUCAUGUCGACAAAUUGAUGAGAUUACAAGAUACCAAAUCUUAUGUAUUACAUUUGAUCCUCUCUGAAAGUAUUGGUGUCUUCAACUGGUUUCCCGCUAUCUUCUUGGUUGAAACCCAAUCAGGUGAUCGGGUUGGGCGGCCAACAUGAGUUUGGUAGAGGACCCUCCCACAAGGUCUUCACCAUGUAUGAUGAUGAAGCCCAACUUAUCACCACAAGUUGUGGGAAGAUCAGACAUCAAGAGGAGACCGCCUGACCAAGGGUGUUGGAGGUAGAGGGGUGAUCGACCAAAGGUGUUGGAGGUAGCAAUCAUCAGGUGAAAACUUUCUUUUUUUCUCACGAAAGGGGAGUUUCAGGAAACUCUACUCAAAACCUGAGGAACCCAUUUCUCAGUGGGGAGACGGAAGGAUUCAAGGUGGAUGAAGGGUGAAGACCAAAAUGAAGAAGAGGUGAUGAUUUGAAAAGGGUUUCCAAAGCCAGAAUUUAUAGAGAACCAGAAGGCAGUUUAAAGGUCGCAAGAAGCUCAAAGGGCACGCAUGUUGUUAUUCAUUUAAUGUUGGCGCUUGGGAUCCCAACCUUAACAUCAAUUGAAUGGGGCACUGUUUGGGAUAAAAUCUGAACUUUGGGCCAGAGAGAAAGUCGGCCCAAACCCAAGGCCCAGAGGAAAAUUUAGGAGGCAGGAAAGAGGCUUUCGGCUGGGCACAAGUUACAAAGGCCACCUGCUUACCUGCUCAAAGACCACAGGGGGUAGGCUAUUCAGUCAAUACAUAGCCCAAAAAAGUACUUUAUUGGUGACAUUCAUGUAAAAAAGCUAGUGAGUCAUCACCAAACCGCAUUCGGGCACCGCUAUUGCUACAGGAACCCAAGCUGAGGUCGUCUAUAAAAGGAGGAAGAGAAGACAGAAUUAAGGACACUCAAUCAAACAAACAAAAGCCAAAACUCUGCUCAAGCCAGAUUUGCCUUCAACGAAGCUGUAGUCAGCACAAGCCUUCAUCCCAUUCGGGAUAAACCUUCCCAAACCCCUGUAAUAGCUCUGCUACCUUGUUCAUGGUGGUAUCGAUUCAUUUUGUAUCCUCUUCUCCCCCGUCAACCCCUCUAAAAGCUUUCAGACCUUUGACAGAGCCACAAAGAUAUAUUUUGUAAGAAGUUCAGCCUUGGCCGAUAAGGUUCAAACUUACCCGACUAUCUUUGCUCUGUCUUUGUCUUUUCUUUCUUUUAAAAGCACAAUAACAUGUUAUAUAUAUAUUCCCAGUUAUAUACAAGUUAUUUCUAGUAAAGUUAGAAUGAAAAUGAGUCUUCAGCACUUGAAUCCGAUCUGAAUCGCGUCAGAGUUCAAAUCAGAUCUAAGUCUUAAGCCCGCGGGCAUGUAAUUUAAAGAUCAGUAAAGUCAUUGGCCUCAAGGCAUAAAAAAAGAACUCUAUGUGGACUCAACCCAUCCACGACAAUCCCUGAUAAGCGAGAAGUCCGAAGUUACUUGGGGCGCAAGUAAUCAAUCUAUUUCUCCGUUUUGUUGCUAUUAUAUCUUGAUUCGUAGAAAAGGCUUAAGCAUGGAGUGAAUUCUGAUAGAAAAGCCUCAAGGCCUACACCUAAGGCCCCAUGAAGGCAUCUAUUUAGCUUCAUUUCAUGUUGCGGUCUAGUUGGUCCGAGUAUAAGGAUUAACUCUGAUGGGAAGCCUCAAGGCCUAUACCUAAGGCCCUACAAAGGCACUCAUUUGGGUUCGUCCUACCUCUUGGAUUCAGAUAAUCAAAGGUAUAAUAGUAAUAAGACUCUGGCAACCAUAAAAGACCAAAUAUGAUACAUCCAAGCGCUAGUUUAGUUUGACAGGAAGCCUCAAGGCCUAUACCUAAGGCCCCACAAAGGCACCUGUUAUAUCUAACUUGGUUUUCUCGGGCGUAUACAUAUUCAAUCAAAGCUUAACACCCAUUCAACAUCUGCCAUACUGAAGAUGGCAGUGGCACGCUUGAGCACGACAAAGUUAAUCUUGAUUGUGAGCCUUAAGGCCUACACCUAAGGCCCCACAAAGGCACCCUUUCAAAUUAACUCUGUCCUUCUCUUUCAGAACUGCCCGACGAGCCUUGCCCGAAGUGUGUCUUGCCCGACCAAGAUCUGCCCGACAAAGGCUUGCCCGAGUGAGCCCGAGAAGAAAGCAGAAGUACGACAGAUACCCUCAACCGACGCCAUUCUCCCAGGGGAGCUGUGUGCUCGUCCGCCAGGAGAUUCCUGCGACGAACACAAGGGAAAGUAAAAGAACCAAACACAAAAAGUUAGCUCAGCCAUGAGCGGUAUAAAUAUAUUUGCGGAAAAAAACCAAAUUAACCUAGCACUUUUAACCCGCGUUACUUCAAUUAUCUCAGUUUUGCCCGAUUUAUGCGACAAAUUGAAAUUC
rnacentral:lncRNA from 1 species